CCUACGGGAGGCAGCAGUGGGGAAUAUUGGACAAUGGGCGCAAGCCUGAUCCAGCCAUGCCGCGUGAGUGAUGAAGGCCUUAGGGUUGUAAAGCUCUUUCGCCGACGAAGAUAAUGACGGUAGUCGGAGAAGAAGCCCCGGCUAACUUCGUGCCAGCAGCCGCGGUAAUACGAAGGGGGCUAGCGUUGUUCGGAAUCACUGGGCGUAAAGCGCACGUAGGCGGAUUGUUAAGUCAGGGGUGAAAGCCUGGAGCUCAACUCCAGAACUGCCCUUGAUACUGGCAAUCUCGAGUCCGGAAGAGGUAAGUGGAACUGCGAGUGUAGAGGUGAAAUUCGUAGAUAUUCGCAAGAACACCAGUGGCGAAGGCGGCUUACUGGUCCGGUACUGACGCUGAGGUGCGAAAGCGUGGGGAGCAAACAGGAUUAGAUACCCCAGUAGUC
rnacentral:rRNA from 1 species